rnacentral:rRNA from 1 species
GACGAACGCUGGCGGCGUGCUUAACACAUGCAAGUCGAACGGAAAGGCCCUGCUUUUGUGGGGUGCUCGAGUGGCGAACGGGUGAGUAACACGUGAGUAACCUGCCCUUGACUUUGGGAUAACUUCAGGAAACUGGGGCUAAUACCGGAUAGGAGCUCCUGCUGCAUGGUGGGGGUUGGAAAGUUUCGGCGGUUGGGGAUGGACUCGCGGCUUAUCAGCUUGUUGGUUGGGUAGUGGCUUACCAAGGCUUUGACGGGUAGCCGGCCUGAGAGGGUGACCGGCCACAUUGGGACUGAGAGACGGCCCAGACUCCUACGGGAGGCAGCAGUGGGGAAUAUUGCACAAUGGGCGGAAGCCUGAUGCAGCAACGCCGCGUGCGGGAUGACGGCCUUCGGGUUGUAAACCGCUUUCGCCUGUGACGAAGCGUGAGUGACGGUAAUGGGUAAAGAAGCACCGGCUAACUACGUG